rnacentral:lncRNA from 1 species
GGCGAGGAUUUCCCUUGCUGUGUGUGUGGGGUGCUGAGUGUGACACGGGGCUGGGAAAAAGACACCCUUAUGGACAGAACUUCUGCUCCUGGGCUUUUCUUGCAAAGGGCGUGAAGUUCAGGGCCACUGCACACACACACAGGAGUAGUGAAGGACGAGAGGAACACUGUAUCAGGCGUCCAACUCAAACGCUACGUCACCACAGAAAGAGGAUUACACAUAGAGAUUACAGCUCUCAGCGUACCACAUAA